AGCUCCAUUAGCGUAUAUUAAAGUUGUUGCAGUUAAAAAGCUCGUAGUUGGAUUUCGGUGUGGGCCAGUGGGUCGGCCGCGAGGCCUGUUACUGACUGGUCCGCUCUUCCUCUCAAAGACUGCGCGUGCCCUUCGCUGGGUGUGCGUAUUUGGAUUUGGGACGUUUACUUUGAAAAAAUUAGAGUGCUCAAGGCAGGCUUUACACGCUUGAAUAUCCGUGCAUGGAAUAAUAGAAUAGGACGUCGUUUCUAUUUUGUUGGUUUUCGGAAAUCGACGUAAUGAUUAAUAGGGACAGUCGGGGGCAUUAGUAUUCAGACGACAGAGGUGAAAUUCUUGGACCGUCUGAAGACUAACUACUGCGAAAGCAUUUGCCAAGAAUGUUUUCAUUAAUCAAGAACGA
rnacentral:rRNA from 1 species